rnacentral:tRNA from 1 species
GGGGAUAUAGCUCAGAGGUAGGGCGCUUGCCUAGCACACUGGAGGCCCUGGGUUCAAUCCCUCGCACAACCA